CAUAAUAUCACGGAUUUGAGAUAAGGAUGGAAGAUAACUCUGAUUGCUUUCCAUAAUGGGGAUCUCACCGGUUGUGGUCUAGGGUUAGAUAGGGACCCCAAAGUCAUCGAUUCAUUUGGUUGUUUGGCGCUUACGGCAAAAGCUUAUCGGUCGUCAACUCCCUCAAAUGAGCCUCUUCUGGGUGAGAUCUUCGUACCGACCCCGCGAGAAAAGCUUCUCGGAGACCCGCACUAUACGACCAUCGACACCGGGUUCUAGACAAGGGUCCCAAAGUCAUGGACCUCCUUGACUGUUCGCCGCUUACGGUAAAAGCUUGCCGGUCGACAACUCCACAAGGAAAAUCUACUUUUAGUGAGAUCUUCGUACCGACCCACACGAGAAAACCUUCUCGGGGACCCGUACUACGUGACCAUCAAUCUUAAUUGGCCGAAGGUUCAAUGUUCUAUGAAGGUCCUUAGAGUCAUGGAUCCUAAUGAAAACAUUGAUUGCUUACGUCAAAAGCUUGACGAUCGUCAACGUCUCCAAAAGAAUAUACUCUAAGAGAGGUUCUCGUAUCGACCCUUACGAGAAAAGCUUCAUGGUGGCCCAUACUACUCAACCUCUCCUAUCUCAACUUGCACUCUAGACUCGGGUAGAGAGUCUUUCCCACCAGGCUUCUUGCAACCAAAGUACUAUCCAUCACUACCAUUGAAUCGUGGAACCACAUAAUAGAUCAUAAAAUUUAAAGCAAAAGACAAUAAAUAAGGCAAGCAAUAUCAAAAGGAUAAGCACCCACAUACGUGAGGAAGCAACCUAGAUUAGGCUUGACUUGCUUAGGGAGGUGUCCCCAGCAAAGUCUCCAACUGUCGCUACGCAAAAAAAAACAGAGUCGCCAUCGGUUUUUAUUUAUUCCUAAGGAAAGGGAAAAUAUCGAGAAAACCCCAAAGAAUGGUCAUCGCAACCACGAACAAGUUCGGAAGUCGGUUAUACAAGGGGAAGGUAUUAGCACCCCUUACAUCCAUGGUACUCCAUGGGAACCAUCUAGGAUGAUUGCGCUUAUGUGGAUGUUGUUUAUCGAAUGUUUGCUUGCCAUAGGUUUGUGGAGUAGAUGUAGAUUUUAAAUUAGUGUGCUCGCAAAGGAUUGGGUCUUCAUGCCUACGUAUGCCCACUUGUUGAAGUGGGAAAUCAGAGCCCCGUAGUUCAUGGGUUUAAAAUAUUUUUUUAUUUUGUUGAUUUUAUUACCUUGAAGAAGGGUUUUCGAUUAUCUCGCCCUAAGGCUCAAACAAAAGGUUUGAAUGCGUUGAAUAGUUUUUAGGUUUUGAGAAAGUGUUAUUGAUUUCGGAUUGCACUAAAGACUAUAGAUAAAGGCGAAUACCUGGAACUACCAAGCCAAACGUCUUGUGUUCGAAGCAUUCAGAAUGCGUGUAGGAAAGCUCCAGUCUCAUCCUUUCUUUACCACUUAAGGCUCGUGAAGUACAAUCUUAAUCGUAUUUAUUGUAUUUUUGAGUUUGGUUUAAGAAAAGACCGUUUGACGUUGGAUCAAGGGUUUGCUUAUUGAUUUCGAUUUGGUGAGCGCUCUUAAUGCCUAUGGAGUAGCUAACAAGCAAUAAAAGACAAAGCAAGUAAAAGCAUACAUUGGAAAGGGAGGGGGUACAUGUAAAGUACAAGGGAAUGUAGGAAAUAAAAAUCAAAUCAAGUGAAAGUUAAUUCUAGAAUCUAUCUCUAUCUAAACAUAAAUUAAAACCAAGAUUAACCACAUGAGAAAUAAUAGCUAGGUCAAUUGGAAAAUUCUAUAAGUCCUAAAGCUAUGGAAGCAUGCAAGAUUAGCUUAUUUCUAAGUCUAGGGGUAAAAUCAUCAUUUUCAUAUCUCUAUUUAAAUUUCUAACUAUGAGAUCUUAAUUAAAGUCAAUUAAAUUCUAAACUAAAUCUAAUUAUUCUAAUCUAAUUCUAAUGAUCUAAUUAGAAAACUAAAAUCUAAUUAUCUAAAAUAUUAGCCUAAAUUUAAUAUUCCUAAUUAAACUUCACAAUUCUAAAAUUAUUAUUUCUAAUUAAUUCCUAAAAUUCUAAAAUUCUAAAAUUCUAUUAGACUACUCUAAUCAAUAUUCUAAAAUCCUAAAAGUUUAAUCAAGGUUUAAUAUUCCUAAUUACUGAAUAUUUCUAAUAACUAAUUAAAAAUUAAUUACAAGCUAAUUGAAAGAUGAUUAACGAACAGUGAAAAACAAACUGGAAAUGGGCCUUGGAUGGGGGGUGUAUCCGAUAGGAGGUGUGUGAGCGUGAUGGAGAUUACGGAGGGAUAUGUUUGGUAUCUGUUUUGGACCUGAAGCCCAAGAGUGGAUGGAUAAGGAGAGGCAAUGAAGUCUUCAUCUUCCUCUAUCACUCAAUCACAUCAUUCACGUCGGUUUACAGGAACUUCUCAAGAAAAUGAAAUUGAAAUUGAAUUCUCCAUUCCAUUCGUUCUUAGGCUUAGAUAACAGAAAUUGAAGAGAAAAGAGCUCACUGAUUUCGAAGUCCGAUGCGGUUGUUCGAUUUCCCCUAGUUGUGGCGCGUGGUUGAUAAAGCGGAUGAGGAAUUACUGGAUCGUGGCAUUGAAAUGAAGAAUCCAGGUUUACGCUCGGCGUCGUUUCUUCGUGGAUAGGAUCUUGGAUUUCUUAAAAAACUCACUGAAGAAACCAUGUUGAUGAAUCGAGGCGCGAAGGUUCGUUACGAUCUGCCUCUAUUGCGAUGCCUGGUUUCGUGAUGAAUUGGUGUGGUGAGAUAUUGAGUUGCGAGAAUCGGUGCGGUUUGGCCUUGAAUUCAAUUUGCAGUAAUUGUUGUGAGAUUGUUGUGGUGCGGGAAGAAGGAUAA